UACCGGCAGAUGGAGGAGAGGAUCACCUGCCCCAUCUGCAUCGACGACCAGAUCAAGCUGGUGUUCCAGUGCGGGCACGGCUCCUGCCCGGACUGCAGCACGGCGCUGACCGUGUGCCCCAUCUGCCGCCAGGCCAUCCGCGAGAGGAUCCACAUCUUCGUCUGAGGGAGGAUCCACAUCUUUGUCUGAGGGAGGAUCCACAUCUUUGUCUGAGGGAGGAUCCCCAUCUUUGUCUGAGUGAGGAUCUGCUCCUCCCUGUGUCCCACCUGCCUCCCGGCUGUCUGGGAGAGGAUCCACAUCUUCCUCUGAGGAUUCUGCUCCUCCCUGGCCCUGACUGU
rnacentral:lncRNA from 1 species